rnacentral:lncRNA from 1 species
ACCUGCCCGCCGGCUCGCGCAGCGGUCCACUGGCGGGGCCGGCGCCGGGCCAGGCCCAUGGCGGCGUCCUCGGCCCUGUCUGCGGGGGCGGCGGCGGCAGCCCUGUCCGGCCUGGCCGUGCGACUGUCGCGCUCGGCCGCGGCGCGCGGCUCCUACAGCGCCUUCUGCAAGGGGCUCACGCGCACACUGCUCACCUUCUUCGACCUGGCCUGGCGGCUGCGCAUGAACUUCCCCUACGUCUACGUCUUGGCCUCGGUGAUGCUCAACGUGCGCCUGCAGGUGCGGAUCGAGUGAGCGCCCGCCGCCACCGCCGCCGGGCCACGACAGCAGGGGCGCGGGCAUGAGGGACGGCGGGGCCAGGGGCCACCUAGACGGGCGGGAAGGAAUCGAGACCGCUCGGGCCCCCGGGCCUUAGACCUCCGCGGAGGACACGGCCACCGAGCUCGGACCUGGCCGCGACCCGCCCACCCACGUCGCGGCUGGAGCCGCGGCGCACAGAAAGCCGCGAAACGGGCCCUUUGCAUUGGCCUCGACCUGUUGCCUCCCCUUGGCCGAAGAGGAAAGCAGAAGGAAGACAUUCUUCAGCCGGAAAGUGAAAGACUGGCCCGGACCCAAAAGGACCUGGUGUUACAGGAGGUGACCCGCUCCUUCUCUGGUCUCCUCCAGGGAGGCAAGGUGGGCCCAGAGCUGCCUGGGGAGCAGCCAAGAGAAGGGCCCGACCCAGGAGGAGAGGAAGGGCCUUCCAGGCAGAGACCCUGAGAGCCGGGCUGGCCCAGUGGUCUGGUUCUGGCGAGAGGAAGGAAGGACGGACCUAGGACGCUGUGGGGGAGCUCUGUCCUCCUCAGCCACUGACUGGGGACACUGGGGCUCCCGGAGGGGGGGAUUGGCCCUUGUUACACAGAUAAGAAGCAGUGGAGCUGAAUCUGCCUUUGGCCUGCACCCCCACCCCACCCCCGAGUCUUCCGGAAGACCUGGCACUGUGGGAUGGGGGAGGGGAGCCCAGGCUCCCUGGGGACUCGGGGGGAGGGCAUGGGAAGGUGGGAAACUAGCUCUCCUUGGGGUGUGUGGGAGGUCACAGGGAAGACCAGGGGACUGAGCUGAGAGGGGCCCGGGAGAGACGGGUCCCAGAAGCCCCUGGGGGCCGAGGGCCUCUCCCACAGAGCUGGGCCUCCCCCCCCUCCCCAGGCUUGACCCAGGGCCGCUCAGGUGAUGAAGACAAGCCUGUCCAUUUGGGGGAUGGGGUGAGGAGGCUGGGGGUGUUGGGUGGCUCCGGAGACAUGAUGUGACCAGGGGGGGAAGGCUGAGCCUGGGUGGGAUGGGGCCGAGAGCCACGCGAGACCCCACCUCCCUGUCCCCAGGCUGGCCCACCUGCCCAGGUUUGCCUGGGAGAAUCUCCACUAGCGGGGCACCCGUGGUCCUGGAGGCCCGGCCAUGCUGUUGACUGGCACCCUGGGAGCGGCGCAGAGGGGGAGCCGGGAGAGCCCCUGGUCCUCCCCCCACCCCCCGGUCCCACACGUGUCCCCACACCGGUUGCUCGUGGUCCACGUCCUCAGAAUUCCUGGGACUGAAAACCUCAGCCUGGUCGCCCCAGGGACGGGGUGGCCGAGCCUCACGCCAUCUGCCCUCCUCAGCCACCCAGCUGGAGCCCGGGUCCCGGGUCCCGGGUCCCGGGUCCCGGGUGAAGAUCUCUGCCGGCCUCACUGGGGCCUGAGGCCACCUGUAGCCCCCCACACCCCUCGCAGACUGUCACAGAGCGGGCCCGAUGGCUUCCUGCCUUGUGCCACGUCGCCUGGGAGCCCCUGGUCCUGGUGGCCACUCCUCCACCCCAAGCUCGCCCACCCGGGGCCACUUCUGGGAGCCUGAGGACUGCGUGCGUGGAUCUCUGGGGCAGCCUCCGAGAGACGGUGCCACAGGGCUGCAUGGGAGUCUGUUUUUCAGGCAGCGGAGCGUCUAGAAAGUCGGGCAUCGACUUGAGUAAGACAACUUUCACUUUUCUGUGUGUGCCGAACUCUGCACCGGUCAGCACAGUCUGGUCAGAGCAACGUUCUUGUGUCGUCAAAUCUUGGCGUCUAAGAUACGAAAAAAGCCCCAUGAGUUCAAUAAAAUGAAAA